CCCAAUCAGGGAUCUUGGAAGAGAAAUUGUUCGGAGUGAGUGCCUCCAAAUUUCUGGAAAGCAAAGCAGGCUAUGGCGUCCUAUGCUUGCCUUAGAAGUAGUUCAGUUCAACAAGGGAACAGACAAUGUUGUGGCACUGAAACUCACAGGACUCUCCAAUCUUCCCAACCUCACAAGUGAGCAAUUUUCAAGGCUUCCCAAUUUGAGGUUCCUUGAAUUAGAUGGAGGAAAACUUGUAGGAGAAAUUCGAGCAUCUUCGCUCAAAUUUAAAACGGCUCUCAUGGCAUCAUUGCCCUGCAGAAUUACAUGCUAACAAGCUUUGCUUAAAGAACUUAGUCGUACUCAAGCUUUCAGAGAGCGACAUUACUGAAGAUUGGGUCGGAUGGGAAGUAUGCAUGGUGAAUGGUAAGUUAAAAGUCAUGCAUAUGACAGGUUGUAAAAGAUUAAUCAGGACACCCAACUUCUCCAGGUGCUUAAAUUUGAAGACGUUGGUCCUUAAAGAUUGUGAAAAUUUGAAAAAGAUAUAUAGUUGGAUUGGCAAGCUAGAACGUCUGAAGUGCUUCGAAAUUAGUGGGAAGAACUCUCUGUUUCGUUGGCAGUUUCCUUUAAGGGACAAUGUGUUUGUAGUACCUUUAGUAUUAGACUCCAUUGGUGGCCUAAAAUCCCUAUUGACGCUAAAGAUAGAAAAUGAGCAAGUUCGAGAACUUCCUCUCUCAAUUGGAGAGCUAUCAGGUUUGGAGUACUUGUCUUUGAGCCAUUGUCCUGAGCUUGAAAGGCUUCCAAAUUCCAUAGGAGAAUUGAAGUCACUGCUCCAAUUGGAUCUGUCUGUUAGUGGAAUUAUUGAAUAACCUGAGUCUAUUUGGGGACUAGAU